AUGGAUUUCUCACUGCCAUGGUCAAGGAUAUUACAAGGGAUGUGUGCCGUUGUUUUGUUUGCUUGUUUAACACAAGGUCCUGUAAAUGCAUCCAACCCUCAAGAAUUGGAAGUCAAGUGGUCUGACUUCCCUGGUGAUUUUGUGUUUGGAGUCUCUACUGCUGCGGUGCAAAUUGAAGGAUCAGCAAAAGAAGCAGGAAGAGGACCAAGUGUUUGGGACUACUAUGUUGAGAAAUUCCCAGAAAGGAUUGCAGAUCACUCCAACAUGUUUACGGCCCUCGAUUCAUACAAGCGAUACAAGGAAGAUGUGAAGGCUGUGAAGAACCUUGGAGUUGGGUCUUACAGAUUUUCCAUCUCUUGGACCAGGAUUCUUCCUAAGGGAACCUUGAGUGGUGGAGUAAACCAACAAGGUAUUGAUCACUAAAACAACCUGAUUGAUGAACUAAUCAAGAAUGGCAUCACACCAUAUGUCACUAUAUUGCACUUUGAUGCACCACAAGCUUUGACAGACAAGUAUGGAGGCCUCCUAAAUCGCUCCUUUGUGAAUGAUUUCAAGGAUUAUAGUGAACUUUGCUUUAAAUUUUUUGGAGAUAGAGUAAAAAAUUGGAUUACAAUCAAUGAGCCAUUAAUUACUGCAAAAUUUGGGUAUGAUCUUGAGGUUGAUCCACCAGCAAGGUGUUCUGUUCAAACAGCAUAUCCAUGUAGUGUUGGUGGUAAUUCAGCCACUGAGCCUUACAUUGUUGCCCACAACAUUCUCCUUGCGCAUGCCGGUGCUGUUAAGCUCUACAGAGAGAAGUUUCAGAGAAAACAAGGUGGACAAAUUGGAAUUAGUCUUGUGGGACAAUAUGUUGAGCCUUAUUCAGAUUCAGCAGAAGACAAAGCUGCAGCAAAAAGAAUUUUGGAUUUUGAACUUGGAUGGUUUGUGGAACCAUUAGUGUAUGGAGCUUAUCCAAGGAGUAUGAGACAGUUGGUCAAGGGCAGGCUACCCACCUUCACCGAGAAAGAGACGAUGAUGGUCAAGCGGUCCUUCGAUUUUAUUGGUAUCAACUAUUAUACCAGCAGAUAUGGCAGAAAUGAGCCUGCAAGUUCAGGAAAACCAAUUUCCUAUAGCAACGAUCAAUUAGCUUCGUUGUGGACUGAAAAUGUGGAUGGAAUCCAAAUUGGUCCUCUGGCUUCAGGAAGCAAGUUCCUCUACAGUUAUCCACAAGGUCUGCAGAAACUUCUAGAGUUCAUUAAGAAAGAGUACAGAGACCCUAAAAUCUAAAUUACUGAAAAUGGAAUAACCGAAAAAAGGGACGAUAAACUAGGGCUUGAUGAAGCACUUAAGGAUCCACAUAGAAUUCAAUGCAUUCUUCAGCAUUUGUACCAGAUCAUGAUGGCAAUCAAGAGCGGUGUGAAUGUCCAAGGAUAUUUCCACUGGGCUCUAUUUGACUACUUUGAAUGGGGGAAUGGCUAUACCACAAGAUUCGGGGUUUAUUAUAUCUAUUACAAAGACAAUCUCAAGCGCAUUCCUAAAGUGUCAGCUAAGUGGCUCCCUAAAUUCCAAAAGGGUCAGGCUUGAUGUGUUCAAAAUCUUAGACAUAAUAAAGCUCUAGAUGGUUGAUCAUGCCUCCUUGCAUAAAGAGUUACCUAUAUUAUGUUGAGUGGGAGAGAGCUUGAA